rnacentral:lncRNA from 1 species
CCUGUGUCCAGCCUAUAAGUUCACCCAUAGUGUUGUCCUAUAGUGUCCAACCUUAGAGACCAACCUUAGGUUCCACUAGUCCAACCUUGGGUCCAACCUUAGGUUCACCCAUAGAAUAGGAUCACCCUGGAGUCCGACCUUAGGUGUUAGUUUACGUCCAUCCCCAUGUUUAGACUUUAGAGUUCACCUUUAGGUUCACCCUUAGAAGGCCUAUAGUCCUGUGUCAACCCUUAGUGUGUCUUAGUAUAAUGCCUUAGAGAGUCC